CUACACCUACGGGGGGCAGCAGUGGGGAAUAUUGCACAAUGGGGGGAACCCUGAUGCAGCGACGCCGCGUGGGUGAAGGAGUACUUCGGUACGUAAAGCCCUAUCAGCAGGAAAGAAAAUGACGGUACCUGACUAGGAAGCCCCGGCUAACUACGUGCCAGCAGCCGCGGUAAUACGUAGGGGGCAAGCGUUAUCCGGAUUUAUUGGGUGUAAAGGGAGCGUAGACGGCAGUGCAAGUCCGGAGUGAAAGCCCGGGGCUCAACCCUGUGACGGCUCUGGAAACUGUAAGGCUGGAGUGCGGGAGG
rnacentral:rRNA from 1 species